rnacentral:rRNA from 1 species
CUCCUGUUUUAACGGUGUUGUCUGANCUACAAGCAACGAAUCAAAACUUUCAACAACGGAUCUCUUGGUUCUGGCAUCGAUGAAGAACGCAGCGAAAUGCGAUAAGUAGUGUGAAUUGCAGAAUUCAGUGAAUCAUCGAAUCUUUGAACGCACAUUGCGCCCCUUGGUAUCCCGAGGGGCAUGCCUGUUCGAGCGUCAUUUCACCACUCAAGCCUGGCUUGUGUUGGGCGACGUCCCCUUUGGGGACGCGCCUCGAAACGCUCGGCGGCGUGGCACCGGCUUUAAGCGUAGCAGAUCUUUCGCUUUGAAAGUCGGAGCCCCGUCUGCCGGAGACCUACUCGCAAGGUUGACCUCGGAUCAGG